rnacentral:lncRNA from 1 species
GUCGUAUUCCUGGUUGUAAUGUUGUUUUCCCGGUUUUGACCAUUCUGCCUACCCUGACCCUGAGCCUUCCUGCCGUUCUGUACCAUUGUCACACCACCCUGGAUUAUUGAUCUCUGCCUGCCCUGACCCCGAGAAUGCCUGCCGUUCGGUACCUUAUGGACUUAUCUGGAUUACUGACCUCUGCCUGCCCUUGACCUGUUGUUUUGCUUGCCCCCUAUUCUAGUAAUAAACUUUUGUUACUUCGACACUGUCUGCAUCUGGGUCUUCUCCUGAAACGUGAUAAUUUGGCCAUAAACAAAGAGUAGACAGUGGCAGAAUACCUGAACACUGUGGCUGACCCAACAUUAAGGAAAUCGUUGACUAUGUACAGACUCAGUGAGCAUAGCCUUGCUUUUGAGAAAGGCCACCGAAGGCAGACCUGGCUCUCAAGAGAAGACAGGCUAUAUGCACACUACCCACAAAAUGAGGUGGAAACUGAGCUGCACUUCCUAACCUCCUGCCAAAUGUAUGACCAUAUUAGAGACACAUAUUUCCCUCAGAUUACACAGACCCACAACAUUUUUUUUAAACAUCCAAUUAUGAUAAACUCCCAUAUCUAUUGGGUGAAAUACCACAGUGUGCAAUCACAGCAGCAAGAUUUGUGACCUGUUGCCACAAAAGGGAAACCAGUGAAGAACAAACACCAUUGUAAAUACAACAUACAUUUAUGUUUAUUUAUUUUCCCUUUUGUACUUUAACAAUUUGCACAUCAUUACAACACUGUAUUUAGACAUAAUGACAUGUCUUCAUUCUUUUGGAACUUUUGUGUGUAAUGUUUACUGUUAAUUUUAUAUUGUUUAUUUCACUUUUGUUUAUUAUCUAUUUCACUUGCUUUGGCAAUGUAAACAUAUGUUUCCUAUGCC